rnacentral:snoRNA from 1 species
GUUCUCAUUUAUUUGCUGCUGUUGUCUCUCAGUGAUAUGAGCAGGUAUAUGCAUGGAAUAAAAUAAUACUGGGUUUUUGUAAAUUGAGAUGGAGUAACAAUUUCUUCUCUUCUGCAUGGUCUAGACAUAG